AAUAGAAAAAAGUUGCAAUUACUUGCCUCCACUGUGAGACAAACCCCAGCCACACCUCCAGCACACAAGAACUUCCAAACACCUGAACCGCAGCAGCCAGGCAUUCCUCCAGAACCUCCUCCCCCAGGAGCUUGCUACAAGUGCCAGAAAUCUGACCACCAGGCCAAGGAAUGCCUACAGCCCAGGAUUCCUCCUAAGCCAUGUCGCAUCUUUGCGGGACCCCACUGGAAAUCAGACUGUUCAACUCACCUGGAAGCUACUCCCAGAGCCUCUGGAACUCUGGCCCAAGGCUCUCUGACGGACUCCUUCUCGGUUUAGCGGCUGAAGACUGAUGCUGCUCGAUCACCUCGGAACCCCCGUAGACCAUCAAGGACGCCGAGUUUCGGGUAACUCUCACAGUGGAAGACCUUGUAUCUUCCAUUUAGUUUCUCAAUUCAUCCAAAACCAUAUCCAGGCCAUCACCGAUCAUUCUAUAUGACAAAUGUUUCUUCUAACGUCCCCACAAUAUCACCACUUACCACAAGAUCUCCCUUCAGCUUAAUCUCUCCCACUCUAGGUUCCCACACCGCCCCUAAUCCCGCUUGAAGCAGCCCUGAGAAACAUCGCCCAUUCUCUCUCCAUACCACCCCCCAAAAUUUUCGCCGCCCCAACACUUCAACACUAUUUUGUUUUAUUUUUCUUAUUAAUAUAAGAAGGCAGGAAUGUCAGGCCUCUGAGCCCAAGCCAAGCCAUCGCAUCUCCUGUGACUUGCAUGUAUACAUCCAGAUGGUCUGAAGUAACUGAAGAUCCACAAAAGAAGUAAAAAUAGCCUUAACUGAUGACAUUCCACCACUGUGAUUUGUUCCUGCCCCACCCUAACUGAUCAAUGUACUUUGUAAUCUCCCCCACCCUUAAGAAGGUACUUUGUAAUUCUCCCCACCCUUGAGAAUGUACUUUGUGAGAUCCACCCCUGCCUGCAAAACAUUGCUCUUAACUUCACCACCUAUCCUAAAACCUAUAAGAACUAAUGAUGAUCCACCACCCUUUGCUGACUCUCUUUUCAGACUCAGCCCACCUGCACCCAGGUGAAAUAAACAGCUUUAUUGCUCACACAAAGCCUGUUUGGUGGUCUCUUCACACGGACGCGCAUGAAAAAAUAUACUAUCUGAAUUUAACAAACUAUUGCUAAAUUUUUUGAAAUAAAUUUUUAAAUACUUUCUCAUUUUGUACCAAAAGUACAAAUUUUACAAAAUGAUUUAUGAUUUUAAUAAUUACUACUAACAAAACAUUUUUAAGGAGGAUGAUUCCAUUUGGAUUAUUAAAGUAAUUUAUUAUAAAAUGUAAUUAUCUUUUUAAAAGUGUUUCUUGUUUCCAAGAUAACUCAACUGUUUAUUUUUGUAAGCUUUUUUCUUGGAUGGAGAUACUGUUUCAAAGUAUUUUAUUUUAGGUGAAUAUCAGUAAAGAGCCACUCUCAAAACAACAAUCACUUGCAAAGAUUCCCCUAGGAUUAGAUAGAUUGUCAACAUUUUUCUAAAUUGUUAUUUUCCCAGAAAAUGUAUGACUCCUUGUCUACUUUUUUGAAACAAUAAAAUCUAAAAAAAUUAUUUACAAUCUCUAAUUUCUAGAAUUAAAUAAUAAAAUGUCAUUUAAAAAACUAACACACAAUCUGAAAUAAAUUAAGAAAUUAAGAAGAAAAAUAAGCAAUCAUAAUUGUAACACAAAAAUGCACAUUGUUAACUUUUUAUGUGGCAUUUUCUUCUGUCACUACCUGUAUGAUUU
rnacentral:lncRNA from 10 species